CCGUGGGAAUACCGUGCGUGAGGCCGCAAAGUGAUAUGAUGUGUUACAUGCUAGAUCGGUGUGACUUAGAAUCGGGGUCCUGACAAGUUAUCAGGGAAAAAAUUAGCUUUCUGCAAAACAACCACUUCAUUAUCCUCUUGAUAUACCUUGCAUAUAGAAGUAGGUCUGUUAUAUCAAUUCCUGCGUGACUUGCCAAUACAUUCAAAGUAUUGACCAUUCGUGGCUGCAACGUUUCAUGUUGCAGAUUUUAUUUGACGAGUGAGUGAUACGAUGUAGGGUUACAAUGUCUAUACUCGACAUUUGCAUGUGGAGUUGAUGGACUUCAUGGAGACUUUAUUUGCUUUUCUGCUGCAUUUUGUUUGUGUGCUAGCUUGAGCUAUGCAGGUAUUGAUCCAGGGACUAGCACAGUGAGUACAGAGACAUCGAAUAUUAUCAGGUUUGGGUCGUUACAUGAGGCCCUUUGUAACCCUGGGCCAAAAAAGGCCUGUGAUGAAACUGGCCCAGAAUGAAGAGUGUAUCGCUUUAUA